rnacentral:rRNA from 1 species
UACAGAGGUCUCAAGCGUUGUUCGGAUUCAUUGGGCGUAAAGGGCUCGUAGGCGGCCAACUAAGUCAGACGUGAAAUCCCUCGGCUUAACCGGGGAACUGCGUCUGAUACUGGAUGGCUUGAGAUUGGGAGAGGGAUGCGGAAUUCCAGGUGUAGCGGUGAAAUGCGUAGAUAUCUGGAGGAACACCGGUGGCGAAGGCGGCAUCCUGGACCAACACUGACGCUGAGGAGCGAAAGCCAGGGGAGCAAACAGG